rfam:Triticum urartu cultivar G1812 contig1154704, whole genome shotgun sequence.
CUGGCAUAAUGAGGAAGAGAAUUGGUUUCUGAUCUAUUUGGAGAUAAAUUUCUCGUACUCAUUCUGA